GAUGAACGCUGGCGGCGUGCUUAACACAUGCAAGUCGAACGGUGAACGAGGGAGCUUGCUCCCUCCGGAUCAGUGGCGAACGGGUGAGUAACACGUGAGCAAUCUGCCCCGAACUCUGGGAUAAGCGCUGGAAACGGCGUCUAAUACCGGAUACGACGCGCGAAGGCAUCUUCUGCGCGUGGAAAGAAUUUCGGUUUGGGAUGAGCUCGCGGCCUAUCAGCUAGUUGGUGAGGUAACGGCUCACCAAGGCGACGACGGGUAGCCGGCCUGAGAGGGUGACCGGCCACACUGGGACUGAGACACGGCCCAGACUCCUACGGGAGGCAGCAGUGGGGAAUAUUGCACAAUGGGCGCAAGCCUGAUGCAGCAACGCCGCGUGAGGGACGACGGCCUUCGGGUUGUAAACCUCUUUUAGUAGGGAAGAAGCGAAAGUGACGGUACCUGCAGAAAAAGCACCGGCUAACUACGUGCCAGCAGCCGCAGUAAAAC
rnacentral:rRNA from 1 species